UGGGGAAUAUUGGACAAUGGGCGAAAGCCUGAUCCAGCGACGCCGCGUGGGUGAAGAAGGCCUGCGGGUUGUAAAGCCCUUUCGUUGGGGAAGAAAAGUGUCGACCUAACACGUCGGCACCUUGACGUUACCCAAAGAAGAAGCACCGGCUAACUCUGUGCCAGCAGCCGCGGUAAUACAGAGGGUGCGAGCGUUAAUCGGAAUUACUGGGCGUAAAGCGCACGUAGAUGGCUUCGUAAGUCGGAUGUGAAAUCCCCGGGCUCAACCUGGGAACUGCAUUCGAAACUGCGUUGCUAGAGUGUGGAAGAGGGAAGCGGAAUUCCAGGUGGAGCGGUGAAAUGCGUAGAUAUCUGGAGGAACAUCAGUGGCGAAAGCGGCUUCCUGGUCCAACACUGACAUUCAGGUGCGAAAGCGUG
rnacentral:rRNA from 1 species